rnacentral:rRNA from 1 species
CCCUUAGAUGUUCCGGGCCGCACGCGCGCUACACUGACGAAUGCAACGAGCUUAUAACCUUGGCCGAAAGGUCUGGGUAAUCUCCAAAUUUCGUCGUGAUGGGGAUAGAUUAUUGCAAUUAUUAAUCUUCAACGAGGAAUGCCUAGUAAGCGCAAGUCAUCAGCUUGCGUUGAUUACGUCCCUGCCCUUUGUACACACCGCCCGUCGCUCCUACCGAUUGAAUGGUCCGGUGAAGCGUUCGGACCGUGGCCUUUGGACGGUUCGCCGUCUGUUGGCUGCGGGAAGUUCGUUAAACCUUAUCAUUUAGAGGAAGGAGAAGUCGUANCA